GAUGAACGCUGGCGGCGUGCCUAAUACAUGCCAGUCGAGCGAACGGACGAGAAGCUUGCUUCUCUGAUGUUAGCGGCGGACGGGUGAGUAACACGUGGAUAACCUACCUAUAAGACUGGGAUAACUUCGGGAAACCGGAGCUAAUACCGGAUAAUAUUUUGAACCGCAUGGUUCAAAAGUGAAAGACGGUCUUGCUGUCACUUAUAGAUGGAUCCGCGCUGCAUUAGCUAGUUGGUAAGGUAACGGCUUACCAAGGCAACGAUGCAUAGCCGACCUGAGAGGGUGAUCGGCCACACUGGAACUGAGACACGGUCCAGACUCCUACGGGAGGCAGCAGUAGGGAAUCUUCCGCAAUGGGCGAAAGCCUGACGGAGCAACGCCGCGUGAGUGAUGAAGGUCUUCGGAUCGUAAAACUCUGUUAUUAGGGAAGAACAUAUGUGUAAGUAACUGUGCACAUCUUGACGGUACCUAAUCAGAAAGCCACGGAUAACUACGUG
rnacentral:rRNA from 1 species